rnacentral:rRNA from 1 species
CCUACGGGAGGCAGCAGUGAGGAAUAUUGGUCAAUGGGCGUAAGCCUGAACCAGCCAAGUAGCGUGAAGGAUGACGGCCCUAUGGGUUGUAAACUUCUUUUAUAAGGGAAUAAAGUGCGGCACGUGUGCCGUUUUGUAUGUACUUUAUGAAUAAGGAUCGGCUAACUCCGUGCCAGCAGCCGCGGUAAUACGGAGGAUCCGAGCGUUAUCCGGAUUUAUUGGGUUUAAAGGGUGCGUAGGUGGGUUGUUAAGUCAGCGGUGAAAGUUUGGGGCUCAACCGUAAAAUUGCCUUUGAUACUGGCAGUCUUGAGUACAGUUGAGGUAGGCGGAAUGCGUGGUGUAGCGGUGAAAUGCUUAGAUAUCACGCAGAACCCCGAUUGCGAAGGCAGCUUACCAAGCUAUCACUGACGUUGAUGCACGAAAGCGUGGGGAUCAAACAGGAUUAGAUACCCGUGUAGUC